GACGGCCUUCGGGUUGUAAACCUCUUUCAGCAGGGACGAAGCGCAAGUGACGGUACCUGCAGAAGAAGCACCGGCUAACUACGUGCCAGCAGCCGCGGUAAUACGUAGGGUGCAAGCGUUGUCCGGAAUUACUGGGCGUAAAGAGUUCGUAGGCGGUUUGUCGCGUCGUUUGUGAAAACCAGCAGCUCAACUGCUGGCUUGCAGGCGAUACGGGCAGACUUGAGUACUGCAGGGGAGACUGGAAUUCCUGGUGUAGCGGUGAAAUGCGCAGAUAUCAGGAGGAACACCGGUGGCGAAGGCGGGUCUCUGGGCAGUAACUGACGCUGAGGAACGAAAGCGUGGGUAGCGAACAGGAUUAGAUACCCUGGUAGUCCACGCCGUAAACGGUGGGCGCUAGGUGUGGGUUCCUUCCACGGAAUCCGUGCCGUAGCUAACGCAUUAAGCGCCCCGCCUGGGGAGUACGGCCGCAAGGCUAAAACUCAAAGGAAAUUGACGGA
rnacentral:rRNA from 1 species